CUGUGUGUGUGUGUGUGUGUGUGUGUGUGUGUAGAGAGAGAGAGAUCUUACCCUUGUAGUAUAUGAAGAAUGUCUAUAUCUUUAUUUCUUGAUAUGAUAGAUACAUAAUCAUUUUAGUGUAUUUGGUUUCUAAAUCACUGUGCUUAUUUUUUUCAAUUUCUAACUAAAAAUACAUGAAUUUGGUUUGUUAAUCCUAUUUUAGAAAUUAUAAUUUUAGUUUAUAUUCAUUUCAAUUAUAUCUUACUGAAGAAAUCUUUCCAGUUAGAAAGAUGUUGUAAUAUCCACGUUAUAAUAUUUUCUUUACUGUAAAACACCUAGAUUUGAAGAUAUAUGAAGCCUUGUUUUCUCUGUGUGGUUCAGCUACUUUCCAUUUGGUAUGACACACUCAAAUUUACAUUUAUCUAUUAAAAUUGCCAUUUUAUUAAACAUUUUUUUCAUGCACAGUAGAUUAAAUUGUGUCAGAAAAUAUCUCUUGUGCUUUUUUGAUUUUUGCUGACUUUAAAAGGAUUAAUCUGGGCAGACAUUAUGAAAAGGAAAGGUUGCAUUUAAUAUAUUUUGGGGCUUAGUAGUCCAAAAGAUAACUGGCUAACCUUGAAGUAACUGUUGUACCAUGGUCGUGCUCAUGCUUCAAAACCCUGCAGAAGAGAAUGUUCCUGCUUGGCACAUCAGAGGACUAGACAGCGGAUUAGGAAUAGACAAUGCUGUCCAUGCUUUGAAACAUCAGCAUUCACUCUAAAGCAAUUGCCAUAAUCGGUGAAAACCUGGACUUCACUGGAUUUUUAUUAAUUUUCUUAAUUUUGAACUGUGCGCACUACCAUUGCUGCAUCAGUAUGACGCAGUGUUGAAAAAUGACCAGUUAUAUUUGCUGUUCAUAAUCUAUUUGUAGAUUAGGUUAAAAUGGAUUUAAUCCAUUUUUACACGCUGUGUGAAUUUUUCUAAACAAGAACAACCAUUUGCAACAUGGAUUUUCAUAGGGAUUAAACCAAUCAUAACUUUUAUUAGCAGUUGAGAACACAUGUUCAUGUAGCAAUGUAAAAAUACACUAAUUACUUUUUGGUAAAUUCCAAUAGAUUUUGACAAUGAGCAUAAUUUUGUGUUGUACAAUUAAGUUGCAAGUAUACAUCUCUAAUUUUGGAUAAUAUUCAUUGAUUAACAAUAAAGUGACAAAAGCUCA